rnacentral:rRNA from 1 species
AUUGAACGCUGGCGGCAUGCCUAACACAUGCAAGUCGAACGAGUGGCGGACGGGUGAGUAAUGUCUGGGAAACUGCCUGAUGGAGGGGUAUAACUACUGGAAACGGUAGCUAAUACCGCAUACCAUCGGAUGUGCCCAGCUGGGAGUAGCUAGGUGGUGGGGUAAAGGCUCACCUAGGCGACGAUCGCUAGCUGGUCUGAGAGGAUGACACGCCACACUGGAAAGUAGACACGGACCAGACGCCUACGGGAGGCAGCAGUGGGGAAUAUUGGACAAUGGGCGAAAGCCUGAUACAGCCAUGCCGCGUGUAUGAAGAAGGCCUUCGGGUUGUAAAGUACUUUCAGCGGGGAGGCGUUACCCGCAGAAGAAGCACCGGCUAACUCCGUGCCAGCAGCCGCGGUAAUUC